GUCCUGUGGUGUACAGCACAUAAAAUUGCAAAUUUUAAAGAGCAGAAUGACUCCUGCCGGGGCUU
rnacentral:tRNA from 1 species